AAGAUUCCGGCUUCAUGUUCCCGAGUUGCAGAGAACAAUCCGAACUGAGAAUGACUUUAAGAGAUUCGCUUACCCUCGCGAGUUCGCUGCUCGUUGUAUCAUCCAUUGUAGCACGUGUGUAGCCCAGGUCAUAAGGGGCAUGAUGAUUUGACGUCAUCCCCACCUUCCUCCGGUUUGUCACCGGCAGUCUAAUUAGAGUCCCCAUCUGAAUGCUGGCAACUAAUUAUAAGGGUUGCGCUCGUUGCGGGACUUAACCCAACAUCUCACGACACGAGCUGACGACAACCAUGCACCACCUGUAUCCACUGUCCCCGAAGGGAAAAUCCUAUCUCUAGGACGGUCACUGGUAUGUCAAGACCUGGUAAGGUUCUUCGCGUUGCUUCGAAUUAAACCACAUGCUCCACCGCUUGUGCGGGUCCCCGCCCAAUUCCUUUGAGUUUCAGUCCUUGCGACCGUACUCCCCAGGGGAGUGCUUAAUGCGUUAACUUCCGCACUGAGGGUCGACCCCCAAAACUUAGAACUCAU
rnacentral:rRNA from 1 species